UACGGAGGGUGCAAGCGUUAUCCGGAUUCAUUGGGUUUAAAGGGAGCGUAGGCGGAUCUGUAAGUCAGUGGUGAAAUCUCUGGGCCUAACCCAGAAACUGCCAUUGAUACUGCAGAUCUAGAGUACAGUUGCCGUUGGCGGAAUAUGACAUGUAGUGGUGAAAUACUUAGAUAUGUCAUAGAACACCGAUUGCGAAGGCAGCUAACGAAGCUGUAACUGACGCUGAGGCUCGAAAGUGCGGGGAUCAAACAGG
rnacentral:rRNA from 1 species